rnacentral:piRNA from 1 species
GCUAUGUAUUCAUUGUCCAA